rnacentral:rRNA from 1 species
GUGAGACAGUUCGGUCCCUAUCUGCCGUGGGUGUAGGAUACUUGAGAGGAGUUGCCCCUAGUACGAGAGGACCGGGGUGAACGAUCCACUGGUGGACCUGUUGUUGCGCCAGCAGCAGUGCAGGGUAGCUAUGAUCGGACAGGAUAACCGCUGAAGGCAUCUAAGCGGGAAGCCCCCCUCAAAACAAGGUAUCCCUGAGGACCGUGGUAGACCACCACGUCGAUAGGCCGGAGAUGUAAGUGCAGUAAUGCAUUCAGUUGACCGGUACUAAUGGUCCGAUAGG